UACGAAGGGGGCGAGCGUUGUUCGGAUUUACUGGGCGUAAAGGGCGCGUAGGCGGCGGGUCAAGUCGAGUGUGAAAGCCCCGGGCUCAACCUGGGAGGUGCGCUCGAGACUGGUCUGCUAGAGUUCGGGAGAGGAGCGUGGAAUUCCCAGUGUAGAGGUGAAAUUCGUAGAUAUUGGGAAGAACACCGGUGGCGAAGGCGGCGCUCUGGACCGAGACUGACGCUGAGGCGGCGGAAAGCGUGGGGAGCAAACAGGAU
rnacentral:rRNA from 1 species